UCUCAGCCAAUUAAAUGGAACAUACACUUUCCCCAUGGGGGCCAGUGUGCGAUGGCUGCAAACAGCCUCCCUGGUAGUGUAUGCAGCCUGUUGCUUGUAUGAUUUGCCUUAAGGGACCUCGGAGAGAGUG